UUAAAGUUCUUGUAGCUCUUUCUGGGGGAGUAGAUUCUAGUGUAUCUGCUUACUUAUUAUUAAAAUCUGGGUUUCAAGUUGAAGGUGUCUUUGUUCAAAGCUGGGAUAAUAGAGAGGAAUUGGGCCAUUGUGGAGGAAGUAAAGACUAUGAAGAUGCCCUUUCUAUAGCAAGAAAUCUUGGUAUUAAGCUGAACGUUUUGAAUUUUGUUAAAGAAUACUGGAAUGACGUGUUUCUUCCUUUUCUUUCUGAGUAUAAACAAGGUUUAACGCCAAAUCCUGAUAUCAACUGCAAUAAAAUGAUUAAGUUUGGCCCUUUACUCUCAUACUCGCAGAAAAGCGGAUUUGAUUUUCUUUCUACUGGUCACUUUGCAAAUGUUCAAAAGAAUAAUAACAAUAUUUAUUCU